GACGAACGCUGGCGGCGUGCUUAACACAUGCAAGUCGAACGGAAAGGCCCCGCUUUUGUGGGGUGCUCGAGUGGCGAACGGGAGAGUAACACGAGAGUAACCUGACCUUGACUCUGGGAUAACUUCAGGAAACUGGGGCUAAUACCGGAUAGGAGCUCCUGCGGCAUGGUGGGGGUUGGAAAGUUUCGGCGGUUGGGGAUGGACUCGCGGCUUAUCAGCGUGUUGGUGGGGUAGUGGCUUACCAAGGCUUCGACGGGUAGCCGGCCUGAGAGGGUGACCGGCCACGUUGGGACUGCGAUACGGCCCAGACUCCUACGGGAGGCAGCAGUGGGGAAUAUUGCACAAUGGGCGGGAGCCUGAUGCAGCAACGCCGCGUGCGGGAUGACGGCCUUCGGGUUGUAAACCGCUUUCGCCUGGGACGAAGCGGGAGUGACGGUAAUGGGUAAAGAAGCACCGGCUAACUACGUG
rnacentral:rRNA from 1 species